rnacentral:rRNA from 1 species
UACGGGGGGGGCAAGCGUUGUUCGGAAUUAUUGGGCGUAAAGCGCGUGUAGGCGGCUUGGCAAGUCGGGUGUGAAAUCCCUCAGCUUAACUGAGGAAGUGCGCCCGAAACUGCCGAGCUUGAGUACCGGAGAGGGUGGCGGAAUUCCCCAAGUAGAGGUGAAAUUCGUAGAUAUGGGGAGGAACACCGGUGGCGAAGGCGGCCACCUGGACGGAUACUGACGCUGAGACGCGAAAGCGUGGGGAGCAAACAGG